GAUGAACGCUGGCGGCGUGCCUAAUACAUGCAAGUCGAGCGAACAGACGAUAAGCUUGCUCCUCUGACGUUAGCGGCUGACGGGUGAGUGACACGUGGAUCACCUUCUUCUAAUUCGUGGAUAAUUUCGUAAAACCGCAGCUGAUAACACCUCAUACAUUGUACCGCAUGAUUCAGUAGUUAAACAGGCUUUUCCUGUUAGAUAUAGCCGAUGUCGCAUUAGCUAGUUGGCGUGGUAAAGGCCUACCAAGGCAACGAUGCGUAGCUGGUCUGAGAGGAUGAUCAGCCACACUGGAACUGAGACACGGUCCAGACUCCUACGGGAGGCAGCAGUAGGGAAUCUUGCGCAAUGGGCGAAAGCCUGGCGGAGCAACGCCGCGUGAGUGAUGAAGGUCUUCGGAUCGUAAAGCUCUGUUAUUAGGAAAGAACAAAAGUAUAAGUAUCUAUGCACGUCUUGACGGUACCUAAACAGAAAGCCACGGCUAACUACGUG
rnacentral:rRNA from 1 species